ACGCCUUCAGGGGGGGAUCAUCACAGUGCAGGUGUGUGACGGCAUAUCUGAGUGAGGACUGUUGCUGCUGCUGCAUUCAGAGAAGACCAACGCCAAAGAAACACACAGCGCAAAGAAGCGAAGGGAUUAGCAGUGACAAAGUCUCCUAGCAAGAAGCCCUGAGGACAAGUUUCAGAGGAGUUCGUGGUCUCAGCUGUGAAGCACUGGAACGAGCAUCAACAAUGUUUUUUCGCAUCCCUCGACUGACCCCCGGAUAUAUUAGAUACCUCCAGACUCAGGCAGCCCAGACAGUGCUGCAGAGCCGGGACGGUCCUGUCAUGUCGCGUAUGGCCAUGCUGCUGGGACUCAUGGGUAUCGGCAUGUCCGGCUACAGCUCCCGUCAACUCACUCUGCACUGCAAGCCAUCAGCUCACCUCUUAAGAUAAGACGGAUGGACCACAGACACACUUUUCUGCUCAAGUUUCUCAUGUUUUUUGGAUAAUAAGUUCGUCAUGACAGUUGUUUCUUGCCUCUUACCAGUUGCCAGGCAACCAGCGAAGUCUCCUGGACAGUUAGUGUCCAUCACAUUGUGAAGUAAAUUGAAACUACUCAUGGAAAAAUGCUGAUGUGACGUGAUGCUACCAGAUUCUAUGCUUCUGUUUAGUUUUUUCUUUGUGCAUCUCUAAUAAUAAUCCCUUCCAUGUGGUUUAAGUUCAACGCCAUCCAUGUUCUUGAUUAUUUAGCAUUGAUUGUGUUUCCGUUGACAAGAUUGUUGCCUUAAGGCUCUACUAGUGCAGUAAAGAGUAAAAAAAACAAACUCCUUUAUCAAAACUACCUCUUCAUUUAAGCACUGUGCUUAAAUGUUCGUGACUGAUGUGCAGUGAAGCAGAAAGGCAGCUAAUGAUGUUUCUACUGGUCGAUGUUGCACUUGAACCACAAUCCUUUUUAUCAGGGGAGUAUUCAGCGAGAAUGGGCCUCAAAAUUGCACUUAAAAAACAAUUCUAAAGUGUUUUUUUUUCAAAUGCAUCGGCCGUCUAGAAAGACAAUAAACACGGACAUCUCUUUGGAAUCCUCAAUCUUUCAGUCAUUGUUGGUAAAUAUUGUGAGGAAAUCAGGGCUUUUUUUGGGAAACUAUGAGAGACGGUCACAUCAGAAGCAUCUUCAACUCAGAGAAUUAGUGAAAACAAAGUUUUAAUUCUUCAUUUGAGAACAUCAGAGUCUCUGAUAUCUCUCAACAGAAUUCCAGACAAGCGAGAAAAAUCUGCCGGGCUGCUCUCAACUCCUUAGAAAUGCGCGAAGAUAAAUACUCUUCAAACAGAAACAUACGGAAAGUGUGACCUUUGAGGUGUGGAAAAUGCUAUUUUGCACUUUUAUUGUGUGUACAUAACUUGUAUAUAGUCAUGUACAGAUGGUUUGGAUGCUGAAUGAGAUUAGUAGUGCGUGACGUGGAGUGCUACCAGCUUGUGUUGUGAGAUGGACUGGGCGACAUCCAGCUGGACUGUUGUCAGGCAGAGCGACCAGGUCGGCCAUCCUGGUCGCCACCUGAACCAGCAUGAGAGUCCACCCGGAUCUCUCCCAGUUGCACACCACUGUCAGACCAGAUGAAUGUAGAUGAAUGACCGCAGAGGUCUCUUAACAUAGGUAGACUUUUCUGUUGUGCACAAUUCUUUUUAAAGGAAUAAAUUAACUUUGACAGCAUAUGAAUGUAUUACAAGCAGUUAAACUGUAAUUGUUAGGAUGGCUGUGUCAUAACCUCCGGGACGGUUUGUGAGCAGGUCAAGAUACAGUGAUCCUUAAAAAAAAUCCUCUUACAAUGCAUGUCGUUUUUAGAGCAGAUUAGAGGUCACUGACCCUGAAAUGGAGACGUAGAAGAGGUAACAGAAAAAGAAGUGUGGUUAUUUAUGUCUUUGAACCUCAUGACUGGGAUUCACAUGGAACAAAGGAUAUCACUGGGAGUAGGAUACUGAAAAUUGCACAUAUCAUCAUGUUGUUGUCAUUCACUGUUGCUGCAAUUUUACUUUUUCAGCUUGUUUCUCAGAUUGAUGAUUGUUUAUUAUUAGAACUCUUUGUGACAUAAAAUGUCUCAAGUGUUGUUUGAGUUUCUAAUAAGUAAAAAUAAAGUUUUGACCCACUUUGUGUUCAAAUGAA